rnacentral:pre_miRNA from 1 species
GGUGAAUGUAUUCCGGGUAGGUGGUCCUUAUUAAUAUUCAUCACCGGGUUUACAUUCAUCCC